CCAAGGAGUCUAACAUGUGCGCGAGUCAUUGGGACUUGUGAAGCCUAAAGGCGUAAUGAAAGUGAAGGUCGUACCCUAGCGUCGACCGAGGGAGGAUGGCUCGCGUCACGAUGCGAGCCCGCACUCCCGGGGCGUCUCUAGAUCAUUGCGAUCGGAGGCGCACCUAGAGCGUACACGUUGGGACCCGAAAGAUGGUGAACUAUGCCUGGUCAGGACGAAGUCAGGGGAAACCCUGAUGGAGGUCCGUAGCGAUUCUGACGUGCAAAUCGAUCGUCGGAACUGGGUAUAGGGGCGAAAGACUAAUCGAACCAUC
rnacentral:rRNA from 1 species